rnacentral:misc_RNA from 1 species
UCCACAACUCAAGCACGGCUUGUUUGUUGAGCAAUUUGCUUCCUUUAAUGGGAGCAGGCUUGAAAUGCAGUGGCGAACGAUACUGAGUUUGGUUGCCCGAGUGUUAUGGGGCUUUGUCACACACUCUUGUGGCCCAGCCGGCGUUCUGUCGAUUUGUUUUUACAGCUA